rnacentral:tRNA from 1 species
AAGAUUUUAAGUUAAACAAACUAGUAAUUUUCAAAAUUACAAUUAUAUUUUAUCCUAAAUUUAUAAGUCUUA